UACGAAGGGGGCUAGCGUUGCUCGGAAUCACUGGGCGUAAAGGGUGCGUAGGCGGGUUUUUAAGUCAGGGGUGAAAUCCUGGAGCUCAACUCCAGAACUGCCUUUGAUACUGAAGAUCUUGAGUCCGGGAGAGGUGAGUGGAACUGCGAGUGUAGAGGUGAAAUUCGUAGAUAUUCGCAAGAACACCAGUGGCGAAGGCGGCUAACUGGUCCAGAUCUGACGCUGAGGUGCGAAAGCGUGGGGAGCAAACAGG
rnacentral:rRNA from 1 species